GAACAUUCUCUCUCUUGACAUGUGUAUUCCAUGCAAAAGAGUACUCAUUACAACUUCUUGAAAUACACCCAAACAUCACUCAUUCCAAAAUCAAACCAAUUUCAUCUUCUAUCUCUCACUAUAAUCGGCCGAAUACUCCCUCUACACUCCCAAUUUCAAAAUUUUGAAGCUUCUUUCAAGAACCAAGUUGAAUUCAAAGUGUAUCCAAGUUGUUGUGAAGAUCCAAGAAGGUUUCCAAGAAGAAACAAGCUCCAUAACAUCAACAUCUUAUCAAAAACCCACUUGAAUCUUAAAGGACGUGUAGAAAUCAAUCUCUGGGAUUGCGCUAUUUAAAAUACGCACCCAACGGUACUUGAGUUCGGCUUCGGGAAUUAUGGCGUAUCUUGUGUUUGUUGAUGCAUGUUUUGUUACUUAAAAUGUUGGACUGACUUUUAAACUUUCUGGGAUAAUGUAAUAAGAUCCGGGAGGGUCAAAGACAAAUUUUAUUAUGUCAUGGCUAUGUCUGUCGUGUUUUGGAACGUUAAGAUUAAA